UGGAAACGGUAUUGGAUUUUUGGAAACUAGAUUGGAUUUUUGAAAAUUAGAUUGGAUUUUUGGAAACUGGGUCGGACUUGUGGACGCAAUUUCGGACCCUGGAUCGAAUUUUCGGACACUGGAUCACAGUUUUGAACACUGAGCACUGGAUCGCAGUUUGGGACACUGGAUCGCAGUUUGGGACAUUGGAUCGCAGUUUGGGGCACUUGAAUUGGAUUUUUGGGAAUUUGGAUCAGCGAGUUGUGUAUACGCCUGAACGCUGUACAUACUUAGAAAUAUACAGUAGCGUGCCCGGCGUCUCUGGAUCAGACCUUUGGUAACUAUUUUUUUUCCUUCAGAAUAGACAGCAAGAGCAUUGAAUUGACUGGAAUUUGGAUACAGAAAGCAUUGAAAUGGCUGGAAUUCGGAUAGUGAAAGCCUGGCUCCGACCGGAGUUUGGAUAGUGAAAGCCUGGCUCCGACCGGAGUUUGGAUAGUGAAAGCCUGGCUCCGACCGGAGUUUGGAUAGUGAAAGCUUGAAAAUGACUGGAAUUUGGAUAGCGAUAGCCUGGCCCUGGCUGGAAUUUGGGUAGCGAAAGCCUGGCCCUGACUGGAAUUUGGAUAAAAAAAGCUUUGAAAUGACUAGAAUUUGGAUAAAGAAAGCUUUGAAAUGACUAGAAUUUGGAUAAAGAAAGCUUUGAAAUGACUAGAAUUUGGAUAAAGAAAGCUUUGAAAUGACUGGAAUUUGGAUACAGAAAGCUUUGAAAUGCCUGGAAUU